rnacentral:tRNA from 1 species
GGCCUCAUGGUGGAAAUGGUGAACACACCUGGCUUUCACCCAGGAGAUUGACGGUUCAAGUCCGUCUGAGGUCACCA